rnacentral:rRNA from 1 species
GGUCCAGACUCCUACGGGAGGCAGCAGUGAGGAAUAUUGGUCAAUGGCCGUAAGGCUGAACCAGCCAAGUAGCGUGAGGGAAGACUGCCCUAUGGGUUGUAAACCUCUUUUAUGCGGGGAUAAAGGUGUCCACGUGUGGAUGUUUGCAGGUACCGCAUGAAUAAGGACCGGCUAAUUCCGUGCCAGCAGCCGCGGUAACACGGAAGGUCCGGGCGUUAUCCGGAUUUAUUGGGUUUAAAGGGUGCGUAGACGGGAAAACAAGUUAGUUGUGAAAUCCCUCGGCUUAACUGAGGAACUGCAACUAAAACUAUUUUUCUUGAGUGUUGGAGAGGAAAGUGGAAUUCCUAGUGUAGCGGUGAAAUGCGUAGAUAUUAGGAGGAACACCAGUGGCGAAGGCGACUUUCUGGACAAUAACUGACGUUGAGGCACGAAAGUGUGGGGAGCAAACAGGAUUAGAUACCCGCGUA